rnacentral:rRNA from 1 species
UGAGUAACGCGUGGGUAACCUACCCUGUGCAGGGGGAUAGCAGCUGGAAACGGCUGAUAAAACCGCAUAACACGGCGAUGCCGCAUGGCAAUGCCGUCAAAUAGUUUAUAGGGCACAGGGAUGGGCCCGCGUCUGAUUAGCUAGUUGGCGGGGCAACGGCCCACCAAGGCGACGAUCAGUAGCCGGCCUGAGAGGGUGAACGGCCACAUUGGGACUGAGACACGGCCCAAACUCCUACGGGAGGCAGCAGUGGGGAAUAUUGGACAAUGGGGGAAACCCUGAUCCAGCGAACCGCCGCGUGAGUGAAGAAGUAUUUCGGUAUGUAAAGCCCUAUCAGCAGGGAAGAUGAUGACGGUACCUGACUAAGAAGCACCGGCUAAAUACGUGCCAGCCGCUGC